rnacentral:tRNA from 1 species
GCCGAAGUGGUGGAAUUGGUAGACACGCCAUCUUGAGGGGGUGGUGAGCAUUGCUCGUGCGGGUUCAAGUCCCGCUUUCGGCACCA